ensembl:lncRNA
ACGCUCACGCACCCAGACCCUGAUUACAGGCGGGUGGACAACACCCCUGGAGCCACAGAGCUCGGUUUCCCCCCCAGCGGCAGGAGCAACUCUCAGCAGCCAGGCAGCGGGGCGGCACGGCCAAAGGCCGCAGUCGGGAUCCCAGCCCCGAUUCCAGGGAGGGCGCAAGCCCCACCCCGCAUCUCACGGCCCCGCGCCUCUGAAAGGCCGGGGCCACAUUCCCACCUGAGUACAGGGGGUCUCUCAGAACGCAGCUCACCAAGCACACACGGGGGGCACACACAGCCCUGCCUACAGGACGGUACCCCCACACCUCACCCUCUUCAAGAAGCCCCGCGGAGCACGAGGCUCCCGCCAACGCCUGAGUUACAGGCUGGCCCGCCCGGCAGCACCAGAACAUCACCAACGUCUCGUCUUUGGAAGCCCAGGGAGCUACCUCGACCCACCGAGCGGGGAGGUCACCCCACACACAAACAGCACCUCAACCUGCACCCUCUGACGGGACAGGGAGGGGUCACUCCCACCAGCUGGAUGGCUAAAGCAGCCGGCUGCAACGCUGCAGCCUCCCCACACCUGAUUACAGGGCGGGCGGGCUGCUCAGGGACAGAGGGCUCCGAAGCUUGGGACACACACCCCGAGUACGGGGCUGUCACCGCCGCCAGCAGGACAGGCGGCCACGCAAGGACAGGCCCAAGCCCUGGCUACAGGGAGGCCUUGGCCACAGAACUACCGUGUGGCUCUGAUCUGCACUAAGGAAAAUAGUAGGAAGACAGGACACUCGCUGCGCUCGCAGGACUAAGAGGGAACACCCCUUUUGCGGCAUGCACCAAAGUCCUCCAUUCCCCCCUGGGAAGUCAAAGCUAAGCUGCAGCCAUCUUUGUGGAGGCCUAAAGGGAAAGCACAGCCGCUCAACCACUCCACAAACACAAUCAAGGAAAGGAAGGGGAACACGCACACACAGGCACGACUUUCCAGAAGGGAAGGACAACGCAGCACAGCCAACACCUGGGAAUAAACCCACAACCACGGGCAACAGACAAGAGCCUGUGACCUGUCCCUAGGCUGCACGGAGGCCACAGACCUCAACGUGCCAAGGGGCUUCUCAGGUAAAGCCAACGGCCAAAUGCCGUGACGCACACCCGAGUACGGGGCCGUCGCAUUGACAGCCACCAUCAGGCAACGAUGCCGAGGGGCCGGGGGAGGAAGAGGGGCAGGGAAACGGCACUACCCUGCUUACAGGGUGGCCUCGGGGUCCGGCGAGCUCCAUUUCCCACUCAGGUGCGGAGAGGUGGCUCUCGCCCUCCGUUACAGGGGGCCACGCUCCCCAGGCAGCCAAAGGAGCAGCAAGGCAAAAGGCCAACUACAGCAAAGACCCGAGCCCCGCUUACGGGGAGGUCGCCCAGCACAACGCCAGCCUGGUCACCAAAGGCGCCGGCAGCUCUCAACUCAAACGUGACUGUGCCCCUGCUAACGGGACAGGUGCUUUGCCCAGGGAGCCUCUCUCCUUCCCCCCCACAUCUGCACGCUUCCGCUUCCUCUUCUUGCUUGCUCCUGCCUCCCAGGUCCCCACGCCGCUGCUUCUUCUUCCUUCUGCAGCAGC